UACGGAGGGUGCGAGCGUUGUCCGGAAUCACUGGGCGUAAAGGGCGCGUAGGCGGCCUGAUAAGUAGGGGGUGAAAUCCUGCGGCUUAACCGCAGGGCUGCCUUCUAAACUGUCGGGCUAGAGCACGGUAGAGGCAGAUGGAAUUCCCGGUGUAGCGGUGGAAUGCGUAGAGAUCGGGAAGAACAUCAGUGGCGAAGGCGGCCAUCUGGAUCAACACUGACGCUGAGGCACGAAAGCGUGGGGAGCAAACAGG
rnacentral:rRNA from 1 species